rnacentral:misc_RNA from 1 species
GUAGGUGAACCUGCGGAAGGAUCAUUAUCGAAUUGGCUUAGACUGUGCUGGCUUCGGCAUGUGCACGUCUAUAUUCAUCCAAUACACCUGUGCAUCUUUGACUUUGAGCCUUUGGGCGAGAAGUAUUACACACCCUUUGAUUAUGUAUGUGAUAAAGACUAUGGCGCUUUGCGUCGAUUUAUAAACAACUUUCAACAACGGAUCUCUUGGCUCUC